UGGGGAAUAUUGCGCAAUGGGGGAAACCCUGACGCAGCAACGCCGCGUGCGGGAUGGAGGCCUUCGGGUUGUGAACCGCUUUCAGCAGGGAAGACCAAGAGACGGUACCUGCAGAAGAAGCCCCGGCUAACUACGUGCCAGCAGCCGCGGUAAUACGUAGGGGGCGAGCGUUAUCCGGAUUCAUUGGGCGUAAAGCGCGCGUAGGCGGCCCGCCAAGCGGGACCUCUAACCUGGGGGCUCAACCUCCAGCCGGGUCCCGAACUGGCAGGCUCGAGUGCGGUAGGGGAGAUCGGAAUUCCCGGUGUAGCGGUGGAAUGCGCAGAUAUCGGGAAGAACACCGAUGGCGAAGGCAGAUCUCUGGGCCGCCACUGACGCUGAGGCGCGAAAGCUAGGGGAGCGAACAGG
rnacentral:rRNA from 1 species